UAGGGAAUCUUCCGCAAUGGACGAAAGUCUGACGGAGCAACGCCGCGUGAGUGAAGAAGGAUUUCGGUUCGUAAAACUCUGUUGUUAGGGAAGAAAAAAUGUAUAGUAACUAUAUACAAAAGAGACGGUACCUAACCAGAAAGCCACGGCUAACUACGUGCCAGCAGCCGCGGUAAUACGUAGGUGGCAAGCGUUGUCCGGAAUUAUUGGGCGUAAAGGGUACGUAGGCGGAUAAGCAAGUUAGAAGUGAAAUCCUAUAGCUCAACUAUAGUAAGCUUUUAAAACUGCUCAUCUUGAGGUAUGGAAGGGAAAGUGGAAUUCCUAGUGUAGCGGUGAAAUGCGCAGAUAUUAGGAGGAAUACCGGUGGCGAAGGCGACUUUCUGGCCAUAUACUGACGCUGAGGUACGAAAGCGUGGGUAGCAAACAGG
rnacentral:rRNA from 1 species